rnacentral:rRNA from 1 species
GGAUCAUUAUCGAACAAGAAACACAGACGUAGAUCAGGUCGCUAGGGAACGGAGACAGCCUUUCUACUAGAUUCGCUCGAAACAAAUCGCUGUCUCUUCUCCCUUUCUUCCCCUUCUUUUCUGUCUUUCUACCCUUCUUAACCCACACCCGUGCACCAAAGGUAGAUCCCCUCUCGAAAGAGAGGUGGCAUCUACGUAUAACAUCACACACUAUGUAUGGCCAGAAUGUAUAACAAUCUACAACUUUCAGCAACGGAUCUCUUGGCUCUCGCAUCGAUGAAGAACGCAGCGAAUCGCGAUAACUAAUGUGAAUUGCAGAUUUUCAGUGAAUCAUCGAAUCUUUGAACGCACAUUGCGCUCCUCGGUAUUCCGAAGAGCAUGCCUGUUUGAGUGUCAUCAAUUCAUCAACCAUUCCUUCUUGGGAAACCAAGAAGGGCAUGGAUUGGACUUGGGGGUUGCUGGCAGCGAUGUCAGCUCUCCUUAAAUGCAUUAGCGAUCAACUUGGCUAGUCUUUUGGCAUGCACGGCUCGGGCGUGAUACAAAUCGUCCUGGCUGGAGUGUCAUUUCUUGGACUAUCCGAAGGAGAUCGCUUCUAACAAACAAAGUCGAGUCGAGUCGAGUGGAGAACAGGUCUAUGGAAGCUUGGCUACUAGUCAGUCAUCAAGUUGGCUGGCGAACGCAAGCAACAUGGUCUAUUCUUUGCUCGAUUUGAUUUGAUUUGAUUUGAUUUGAUUGAAUGUCUUUGAAGUGAAAUAAGGAUAAGGAAAGGAGAGAGCCUGAAGGAGAGUGAAAUCUGGUGAAAGUGAGUCCAUGGAGCUUAGCUACUAGGCAGUCGUUGAGUCGACUGGCGAACACAAGCAAGAUGGAUUCGAUUCCGUCAAGACCAGAGGAAGCUUGAUCUCUCGAUCUCGAUCUUCUGAA